CUUCUUAGCGUCCUUUUUGGGUGCCAUUUUUCAGUAGUGUGUUUGUCUGCCGGGAGAAUAGCCAACACAGGGAGUGGACCACAGCUUGGAGGAUAUACUCAGCCCUCUCAAGGGGCCAAAGCCAGCCAGUUGUGAACGUGAUGACAGGCCAAGCCUUCAUCACCGCUCAGAUUCAUGGGUAUGGAAUUGACAUUGAGUCUCUCCCUCCAGGCUCCAGUCUUCUCUUCAUCAAUGCAAAUGAUGAAACCAAUGAGGGCAUUAUGCAUAAUGCCAAUCCAGCGUUCAUAGUGCAUUUCCAGCCCGAGGCGUAGGGAGGAACCACAGACUCAAGAGGUACCGUAUCUCUGCCAGCAGAUCUUACAGAGUCUGAUCUUUGCAUUUUUCAUCUCUGAACGUUCUCUCUUGAUCAUGUGAAGAGUUCUCCAUAGAGACUCAACCGUAGUGCACAUCAGGGGGCUGAUUAUUUCAAGUAAAAACCAGUCUGUGUACAUUUUUCAAGGGUCUUUUAUAGUUCUUUUUUAUGCUUUUUAUCUCUCUGAUAAAGGCAGUGUGGGAGGAAAACAUUGCAUCUGGGAUGCCAAAGUAACCCGCAGUUCCUCUGAGAGCCCAUGUGGGGGAGACAAACCACAUAAGUUGGAAGACCUCUUUGACAGCACAUGGUGAUAUCUGAGUCACUCCUCGUGGUCCUUGUUUUGUGGUUAGCUAUUUAAAAUGCUGGAGGACCUGUGUCCAAGUACCAGUGUUGUCCUGUUUUCUUACAUGGAGACAAUAGUAUUUGAGAUCAAGUGUAAAUAUGUGAUUUAAAAAAAUAUCUACUGUACAUUCAGCAAAAAGAUUAGGAGUUUACUGUUUGACUGUACUGUACUGUACAUUACAUUACUUUUAUCAGUAUGUAGAAUGUAUACAUUUAAAAUUUCAGACACACACCCUAGUUUGAACCAUUUCUAAAAGGGAGCCAGUUCCAUUUGGUGCCAGUAGUGGGCAUCAUCCAAACUUAGAAUUUUAUCUGUUGAUUGAGGACGUGCAUAUAUGCAAAUACAAAAAAAACAGAUAUCAAUGAAAAUGAAGAUGUUAGUAUCAUUGUUAAAAGUGUGAGGCGGCCACUGAAUUUGGCACUGUAGUAAAAUGGCAUGGCAAAAUAUUUUUUGGAAUAUUUAGACUGCAUUAGACACAUUUAAAUACAGCAGACAAUUAUGGGUUGUGAUGAGUCUUAUUGUCUGACAGGCGGCAGAUGCCUUAAAGGCCCCAGAUGAGACAAUUCCCUGUCAUGAUGAAAAUAGCUCAUGCUCUGUUGAAGGCCAUUAACCGGUCCAGAACUCUGUGGAGUUUGUGCAAGGUGGCUUGCUGAAAAUAUAAAAAAUUAGAACCUGGCACAUGCAUUUCAAACUAGUUCUUGUACCACAAAAGCAGUCAUAAGGAUUGACUGGAAAUUGAGAUAUAUACAUUAUCUGAAAUCUGGAUAAAUAAGCUUUCCAUUGAUGUAUGUUUUGUUAGGAUAAGACAAUAUUUGGCCGAGACACAACUAUUUGAAAAUCUGAAAUAUGGCGGUGCAAUAAUUUGUGUGAAAAUCGCCUUUAAAGUUGUCCAUCAGAGGUGCUUUAGCAGGCCGUUGCAGGUUUGUUUUAACGCUCUGUAUUGGCUUACCGCUGUAAUGACAUUGUGGAGAGUUGAUGAUAGUGUUGUAGUCGAGACCACCAAAACCGAGACCAAGACAAGACCGAGACCAGAGAGUGUCGAGACCAAGACACGACCAAGACCAAGACAGGCCGAGACCAAGACCAGCACUCCCAAAAUUAAUUCGAAAGAUCCACAAAACACUAAAAAGUCAUAAUAAAAUAACAAUAGAAGUAACUUGGGUGAUUUUUUGUGCAGAAAUGUAUGUGUAGGAUGUUUUAGGUUUCACGUUUUAUCACCCACCUACAUUAACAUAUUACAAUUUUUGUGCAGGUAAAAAUUCGAACAACAUAAAAAAACGGUAAAUACCCAAGAUAAAUUUGUGAAAGUCUGUGACCUUCAACAAAACAAAACAUUCAGUGACUUAAUUCGUUUCAUUGCUUUUUUAUCUAAUCAAUAGCAAAAUGGCUCAGAAAUGCACAAAAGUUCAGAUUUGUUCUAGAUAUAUUUGGGACUAGCCAAAAUAGAACAAAAACUUAUGUUUAAUUGUGUCUAAAACUUAAGUCACUUAUUAAUUCAAGGUUUAUUGAAUAAUUAUACAAAAUCAAUAUCACAUCAGAUGUUAUAAAAUAAAAAAACAAGAUCUCAUACAAGUACCUUUUUUGCAAUCACAUCUCGGAUAUUGUGGGCCUUGUGUGUAUUCAUUUUGCUGACACAUUUCUUUAAGACAAUCCCCCAUUCUUCUCUUACCAGCAGUAAGAGUAACAAAAGUAACAGAAGAAUCAAAUUAGGAACAAGUGGUGAAUGCUUUUAAAGCCAGACGUUUUACAUCCAAUUACAUGAAUGACGUUAACAAAUAAAUCAGACAAUGCACCAGCAAUUUAGUGUAAUUCCCACAGUUGUGGUCUUGACCAGUCUUGAAAUAAAAUCCUGAGACCACUAAGACUGAAACCAAGACAAAACCGAGACCAAAGACAGUCGAGACCGUGACAAGACCAAGACCAUCAAAAAAUGGUCUUGAGACCGGUCUCGAGUACUACAACACUAGCAGAUGAACCUGAAAGCACAAAUUCGAAGCUUUUCUGUAGAUAGCAAACUUGGGUAAUUCCGUAAGAGCAGGCAGCAUCGAGCAAUGUCAAGCCAUUUUUGUUUGUGAUUUUGCUGCAUCCUCUCACAAAAAUAACGUUUUGAUAGAUUUACGGUAGGAAAAAAUAUCUUUACAAAAUAUCUUCAUGGAACAUGAUAUUAUCUAUGAUUUUUGGCAUAUAAGAAAAAUCUAUCAUUUUGACCCAUACAAUGUUUUGUUGGCCAUAGCUACAAAUAUACCUGUGCUACUAAUGACUUGGUUUUGUGGUCCAGGGUCACAUAUUUAUUCUUUUCAUCAACUCCGAUGUCAUUAUUGACCCAUACACAUGAAUAGUCAUCACUCUUCAUUCAUGUAAAUUUAAACCGUUACAUCAUCUAAACAGAUGGCAUGCUUUGUGGAAAGCUAACAGCUCUUUCCGAUCAUU